UACGAGGGGUGCAAGCGUUGCUCGGAAUUAUUGGGCGUAAAGAGCGCGUAGGCGGCACGGUACGACCGGUGUGAAAGCCCCCGGCUCAACUGGGGAGGGUCACCGGUAACGGCCGAGCUAUGAGUGCAGGAGAGGGAAGUGGAACUCCGGGAGUAGCGGUGAAAUGCGUAGAGACCCGGAGGAACACCAGUGGCGAAGGCAGCUUACUAAAGUAUGAUUGACGCUGAGGCACGAAAGCGUGGGGAUCAAACAGG
rnacentral:rRNA from 1 species